rnacentral:rRNA from 1 species
CCUACGGGAGGCAGCAGUGAGGAAUAUUGGUCAAUGGACGAGAGUCUGAACCAGCCAAGUAGCGUGAAGGAUGAAUGCCCUAUGGGUUGUAAACUUCUUUUAUAUGGGAAUAAAACGUUCCACGUGUGGGAUUUUGUAUGUACCAUAUGAAUAAGGCUCGGCUAACUCCGUGCCAGCAGCCGCGGUAAUACGGAGGAUCCGAGCGUUAUCCGGAUUUAUUGGGUUUAAAGGGAGCGUAGGUGGAUUGUUAAGUCAGUUGUGAAAGUUUGCGGCUCAAACGUAAAAUUGCAGUUGAAACUGGCAGUCUUGAGUACAGUAGAGGUGUGCGGAAUUCGUGGUGUAGCGGUGAAAUGCUUAGAUAUCACGAAGAACUCCGAUUGCGAAGGCAGUUCACUGGACUGCAACUGACACUGAGGCUCGAAAGUGUGGGUAUCAAACAGGAUUAGAUACCCCUGUAGUC